GCCGCGGUAGCUCAGUGGUAGAGCAGUGGCCUGAAGAGCCUCGUGUCGGGGGUCCGAUUCCCUCCCGCGGCA
rnacentral:tRNA from 1 species